rnacentral:rRNA from 1 species
GGGGAAUCUUGGACAAUGGGCGCAAGCCUGAUCCAGCCAUGCCGCGUGAGUGAUGAAGGCCCUAGGGUCGUAAAGCUCUUUCGCCUGUGAAGAUAAUGACGGUAGCAGGUAAAGAAACCCCGGCUAACUCCGUGCCAGCAGCCGCGGUAAUACGGAGGGGGUUAGCGUUGUUCGGAAUUACUGGGCGUAAAGCGCGCGUAGGCGGACUAUUAAGUCAGAGGUGAAAUCCCGGGGCUCAACCCCGGAACUGCCUUUGAUACUGGUAGUCUUGAGUUCGAGAGAGGUAAGUGGAAUUCCGAGUGUAGAGGUGAAAUUCGUAGAUAUUCGGAGGAACACCAGUGGCGAAGGCGGCUCACUGGCUCGAUACUGACGCUGAGGUGCGAAAGUGUGGGGAGCAAACAGG